GUCUCAAUGUUGUUGACCCGCCUCCUGAUUUUGAAUCCCUUGUUUCGUUGGUUGAUGGUAUUUGUUAAAAGAUGUGGCUAUGGCAGGUUGCUUGGGGAUCUUAGUUUGACUUCGAUCUUAGUUUUAAGCUUAAUUGGUUUCUUCACGAGAUCUGCAUGGGUUGUCCGAUUGUAUGGCACGUUCUUGUUUGAUUGUUGCCUUAUGAUUGGAUCGUUUGUGUGAUCGAUGACAUGAUGUGACUUGUUAAUCUUAAAACUUGUGAGGGCGAUUUGACGUUGUUGCAUUUGUUGACGAGUAUUGUUGACUGAUGCUGCAAGUGUUUCUUGGUAGCUCGUUUGUCUGAUGCGUUGCUGAUGAGAUUCGUCUCAAUAGGUGGUGUCAUGUUGCUUGUUGUUCCUAGUUUCUAGCUUUUUAAGCUUAAAACCCAUGGAUUAUCGACAAGUAACAGGUCAUCGCGUCUUUGGUUGAUGAAGAUCGUUCAAUGAUGCAUUGGUUUGUUUGUGUUCUCGCAUCGUUCGGUGCAUUCUGGGGUCAUUUUGGCUAUUAGCUGCUUGCCUGGUGUUUGAGCUUGGUGGGUGGCUGUUAGUUGGGUGAUUUCGGGAAUGUCUACCGUAAAGGUGCAUGAGUGGUGUUUGGUUUGUUACGGGUGGUUGGCUCUUUGCUUGCGCAACAACUUCCACCUGGCAUACCUCUUCAGUCUUGUGUCAAUGCUUGUAUCGCAUUGAAUGCAUGGUGGGUUUCCUGUGUUGCAUGCCUAAUUGAUGGUAUCAUUUGAAGAAUUGAUGUCCAUUUUCGUCUUGUGUUGCGCAUGCGAUGUGAGAUGAACCUUGAAGUAGCCUUUGUGUUCCACUCUUUCGAUGCGCAUGCAUUGAUUUUUUGGCCCAUUGAGUGUUGC
rnacentral:misc_RNA from 1 species